GUGCUUACUUCAGCAGCACAUAUACUGAAAGAUUAACAUGACCUCUACACAAGGAUGAAACACAGAUAAGUGAAGCGUUCCAUAUAUUU
rnacentral:snRNA from 1 species